rnacentral:rRNA from 1 species
AGUGAACGCUGGCGGUAGGCCUAACACAUGCAAGUCGAACGGCAGCACAGUAAGAGCUUGCUCUUACGGGUGGCGAGUGGCGGACGGGUAAGGAAUACAUCGGAAUCUACUUUUUCGUGGGGGAUAACGUAGGGAAACUUACGCUAAUACCGCAUACGACCUACGGGUGAAAGCAGGGGAUCUUCGCACCUUGCGCGAUUGAUUGAGCCGAUGUCGGAUUAGCUAGUUGGCGGGGUAAAGGCCCACCAAGGCGACGAUCCGUAGCUGGUCUGAGAGGAUGAUCAGCCACACUGGAACUGAGACACGGUCCAGACUCCUACGGGAGGCAGCAGUGGGGAAUAUUGGACAAUGGGCGCAAGCCUGAUCCAGCCAUACCGCGUGGGUGAAGAAGGCCUUCGGGUUGUAAAGCCCUUUUGUUGGGAAAGAAAAGCAGCAGGUUAAUACCCCGCUGUUCUGACGGUACCCAAAGAAUAAGCACCGGCUAACUUCGUG